CCAUGGUUGUCUUCUCCACUUAUUCUCAUUCUAUAUUAGAUUCUUGUUCUUCCAAUCUCAAAUUCGAAAUUUUAAACCUUUGCUUCCUCCAUCUUUGUGUAUCACAACGCUACCAUGUUACUCUCAUAUCCCCAAAUCAAUUUUCUUCUUCGUUUCAGAUAUGUUGUUGUCGAACUGGUUGAAGGUUUGUAGUAAGAAAGUCGAACUGGUUUUUAAUAGCUCAUGUGUGGUACGAUGAAGAGGCUAUUGAGAGGGACAAGAAAAUCAUACUCCCUCCGUCCCAAAAUGAUCAAAGCAACAAUAAGACCUUUCACAUUCCAUGGAGGAAGAUGUUGAAGAAAUGGGAAAAUAUAGCAAACUAUGGUAGCAACAACAAGUGCGAAGAAUCAACAAAUUGUCCCUGUUUCAAAAAAAAAUAAAAAAAUUCAUACAUAUAUAUGACCAAAUCAUUUUCAGCUAGCAUAAUAAAUACUUUGUUAAUUGUAAAAUGUUUAAUUAAUUACCAGUUCGAUUCUUUGUCAA